rnacentral:rRNA from 1 species
UACGGAAUGUGCAAACGUUAUUCGGAAUCACUGGGCUUAAAGAGUCCGUAGGCGGCAUGUUAGGUGAGGUGUGAAAUCCCCCGGCUCAACCGAGGAAUUGCGCUUCAAACCGGCGUGCUCGAGGAAGAUAGAGGUGGGCGGAACUGAUGGUGGAGCGGUGAAAUGCGUUGAUAUCAUCAGGAACACCGGAGGCGAAAGCGGCCCACUGGGUCUUUUCUGACGCUGAGGGACGAAAGCUAGGGGAGCGAACGGG